rnacentral:lncRNA from 1 species
AUUGAAGAAUCUCUAACCAGAAGGCACAGAUCAUUCAUGGGGAUGUAUAACCGAAACCAGUCCUCUCCACCGCCUGGGGAUCUUCACUUUCGCAGUCUACGACUGCCUGUGACUCCAGAAAGACAAACUGCAGAUUGGCCAAGAUGGGGAAAUUGAGGCAGAGAAGCCAAGACAUGUGCUAAAGGUCAUGCAGGCUAUGAAUGGAGCUGGAAUGUGAACGCAGGCCAUAUGACCCCAGAGCCCAUGUUCUUGAACCCUUAGAAAGACAGCAGCAACACACCUGGUGCAGCAGCUGCUUAGUUGGAGUGGCUGACAAGUUCUUGGCACAUUUGUUCCAUAGUAAAGAAGAAUUUAACUUGCAAGUGAAAAACCUCUGCCUUUGGCCAUGGAUUAAAAAGAUGUUAUAUGAUGAAGUUUACUUCCUAAGGAAAGAGAUCCUGGCAAAUGGGUGUUUCUUCCCAGAAAGGGAUUUUUCUCCAUGACUGCAGUUGAAUUGCAGAGUUGUAGAGACAUCCAGGUUCUUGUUAGUGUGGACGAACUAUCCAUGAAGAUCUUAAAUGCAGGAGUCUAUGAGAACACCAAUUAAUCAAUUGUCAAAUAUUUGAGUAUCUAUUGUGAGCAAGGCACUGUAUAACCAUUAUGUCAUGUAUUAAUCUAUUGGAAAAUAAUUUGACCUUGGUUGUAUAGUAUUUUGUUUAUUUUUACCUUAAAUUUUGUAACUCUAUUAUAAGUGUUUACAUACCAACUAUUUGAGGGCUGUAUGCAAGGUAUAGUUUUAUUGUACUUUGCUUCUUCUGUUACAAUAAAGUACAAGUACAGUAAAAUAAUCA